ACAAAGGCAGAACCAUCAAUUGACUUCACAAACACUGUCCCGGAAGGUGAAAUUAACUAAGAACUUAAUUAUAGUCCUUUGCUUCCUAUCUGUCCAUCCAUCUGACAUAAUGGAACAACCAUGUCUGCCCCAUUCUUCUUUAUUCUUCUCCAGCAAAUUGUUAGUAUAUUCCAACUCUUUGUUUAAGAGUGGAACCCUUAUGCUGUGAUAACUAGGAGCAGGCAAAUUUCUUCCGUAAGCACCAAUUGCUUCAAUCAUAUUUUGAAAGGCAUCCAACUUAACCAAGUUGAAUGAUAGGCCGGCUUGGUACAAAAAACGGGCUAU
rnacentral:lncRNA from 1 species